ensembl:lncRNA
UAUCAUUAAUCUUUACAGCCAUUUGGCACAUUAGAUAUUCUUGUUAUCCUACUUUACAGAUGCCUAAGAGUGAAACAGCUAAUUGAUGGGCAGAGUUGGGAUACAAACCCAAGGUUUUGUUUGUUUCUGCUGGUAUACAGAUCAUAUCUCCACUCAGCCCUAGUCUUCCACAAAGAAACAGGACUUGAGGAAUCACCAACACUAAAUGCAGCCGCAGAUCUUUGCAGAAUGUACUGCCCUUAGUGUGAUUUUCCUUCAAUACUUACCUCUGUUUCAAAGAGCUUGGAGUAAAAUUAUUACUUCUAUUUGGGACAGAACACUUACACCAUUUCUAAAAAUGCUCGAGAAAAAGGAUAUAUUUUGGAGCAGACUUUAAGAGAACAUGAAAUGGGAGAGCGAGGUGGUUGUCUCAUGGAGUCGAGGAACGAAUCUCGCGGACAAAGGAGAAAAAGGUGUUGUUUCUAUGAAAACUGAAGAGGAGUGUCAGGUUGGAGUAUUAUCUGAAGGAAGAGGAUGGACAGUUCAAGAGUUCUGCUCCGCUUCACCCAGCAUGACCUUCAGCAUUAUAUUGAUUCCGGACUCCUUCACCUACCAUAUUGGAGCCAUGGGCUGCCUUCUUACUGACCCAUCAGGGCUAAAUUUAGGAUUGAAUGACAAUUUGAUGCAGGAAUAUCAGAAGCUGUGGAAUGCAGUCUUAACCUUUUCAGGGGAUGAUAACUUUGGAAGACCCAUGCCCUUGAGGACAACAUCCAGACCAUUUCUUACACAGGAAGACCCAUGUCACCCAGAAGUGCUGACAACAUUUUCAAGUUGAUCUCAUUCAGGACAGAAAAAGAUUAGCAGUAUAACCCUUGUACAGAAAAUAGAUCUUGCCCUUCAAAGUUUUGUCUUUUUGCAGCAUUGGUCCUGCUGCUUAGCUGCCAUACCUAGCGCACCUUCUUUGCCUUUCUCUUAUUUUAUUUGUUUGUUUAUUUAAGUGAGAACAUGAGAAAGGGAGCUAACAUUUAUUAAGCACUUAUUCUGUUAGGUAUUGUGCUUUGCCCUUCACAUGAUAUUUGAAUUUGUUUUUCAAAACAGCCCUACUCAUAUUAGUGUCAUUCUCAUUUUACAGAUAAGAUCUUGGGAAGUUGUUUUAAUCACAUAGCAAAUUCAUGGUAGAGAGAAGAUUUGGAUUCAUUUCUGUUUGUCUCCAUAGCCAAGCAGAGAAGAUACCUUGUGGUGAUAUCUUUAGUGUAUUUUCUACAAAAAGUAAAAGUUUUGCUCAAGUAUAUUUGCAGAAACGAGCUUGUAUUUAAGUAGAUCUCGGGAAAUUGUGAUUGACAGAUUAGACCAGUCUGUUUAUAUAGAAAAACUUUAUUUGGGAUUUAAUGAAAUAUAUGAAGGUUCUUUAAGUUUCAACUAUUCAGAGAUACAGAAUCAACUUUAUUACUAUUUCAUUUUAUUAAUACUGAUGAUUAAAUUUAUAAUUUUUAUAAACUUUACAACUUGCUUCUUUUGGUCUAUGGAAAAAAUAGGUAUAUUUCUUACUGUGGUUCAGAAUAAAUACUUGUUUUUUCCAGAUUGCA